GACGAACGCUGGCGGCGUGCUUAACACAUGCAAGUCGAACGGAAAGGCCCUGCUUUUGUGGGGUGCUCGAGUGGCGAACGGGUGAGUAACACGUGAGUAACCUGCCCUUGACUUUGGGAUAACUUCAGGAAACUGGGGCUAAUACCGGAUAGGAGCUCCUGCUGCAUGGUGGGGGUUGGAAAGUUUCGGCGGUUGGGGAUGGACUCGCAGCUUAUCAGCUUGUUGGUGGGGUAGUGGCUUACCAAGGCUUUGACGGGUAGCCGGCCUGAGAGGGUGACCGGCCACAUUGGGACUGAGAUACGGCGCAGACUCCUACGGGAGGCAGCAGUGGGGAAUAUUGCACAAUGGGCGGAAGCCUGAUGCAGCAACGCCGCGUGCGGGAUGACGGCCUUCGGGUUGUAAACCGCUUUCGCCUGUGACGAAGCGUGAGUGACGGUAAUGGGUAAAGAAGCACCGGCUAACUACGUG
rnacentral:rRNA from 1 species